rnacentral:rRNA from 1 species
UGGGGAAUAUUGCACAAUGGGCGCAAGCCUGAUGCAGCCAUGCCGCGUGUGUGAAGAAGGCCUUCGGGUUGUAAAGCACUUUCAGCGAGGAGGAAGGUGGUGAGCUUAAUACGCUCAUCAAUUGACGUUACUCGCAGAAGAAGCACCGGCUAACUCCGUGCCAGCAGCCGCGGUAAUACGGAGGGUGCAAGCGUUAAUCGGAAUUACUGGGCGUAAAGCGCACGCAGGCGGUUUGUUAAGUCAGAUGUGAAAUCCCCGGGCUCAACCUGGGAACUGCAUUUGAAACUGGCAAGCUAGAGUCUCGUAGAGGGGGGUAGAAUUCCAGGUGUAGCGGUGAAAUGCGUAGAGAUCUGGAGGAAUACCGGUGGCGAAGGCGGCCCCCUGGACGAAGACUGACGCUCAGGUGCGAAAAGCGUGGGGCAGCAAACAGGAUUAGAUACCCCUGGUAGUCCAGCGCUGUAAAACGAUGUCGAUUUGGAGGUUGUGCCCCUUGAGGCGUGGCUUCCGGAGCUAACGCGUUAAAUCGACCGCCUGGGGAGUACGG